GACGAACGCUGGCGGCGUGCCUAAUACAUGCAAGUCGAGCGAACAGAUGAGAAGCUUGCUUCUCUGAUGUUAGCGGCGGACGGGUGAGUAACACGUGGGUAACCUACCUAUAAGACUGGGAUAACUCCGGGAAACCGGGGCUAAUACCGGAUAAUAUUUUGAACCGCAUGGUUCAAUAGUGAAAGACGGUUUCGGCUGUCACUUAUAGAUGGACCCGCGCCGUAUUAGCUAGUUGGUAAGGUAACGGCUUACCAAGGCGACGAUACGUAGCCGACCUGAGAGGGUGAUCGGCCACACUGGAACUGAGACACGGUCCAGACUCCUACGGGAGGCAGCAGUAGGGAAUCUUCCGCAAUGGGCGAAAGCCUGACGGAGCAACGCCGCGUGAGUGAUGAAGGUCUUCGGAUCGUAAAACUCUGUUGUUAGGGAAGAACAAAUUUGUUAGUAACUGAACAAGUCUUGACGGUACCUAACCAGAAAGCCACGGCUAACUACGUGCCAGCAGCCGCCGUAACAC
rnacentral:rRNA from 1 species